rnacentral:lncRNA from 1 species
UUCAAUUAACUCUCUCUAGACUUUUGAAUUUUGAAUUUCCUUUUACUUCAACGGUAAGUCUUCAAUUUCACCACCAGAUUUUCUGUAAAUCUCCAAAUCUGCAUUUGUUUUUUGCAUUGUAAAUUGCUUUGAUUUACUUUAACUUAGUUUUGCGAACUUCCGUCGCUGGCAACAUAAAUUUACCAAAUUGAAUUUGGGUGCUUGAAUUUUCAGCCCUUGGUAUUCGCAAACCCUUUGAAACCCAAUGUUUCUUCAAAUUUCUUUUCUGCUCAGAUGCUUGAAUUUUCAACCCUUGGUAUUCGCAAACCCUUUGAAACCCAAGGUUUCUUCAAAUUCCUUUUUUCGUUCUGCUCGGAUUUGAAGCAUAGAAGAGCAGAAACCUUUUCAUUUUUGCUCGCCGAAGUUUAAGCCGAUUCGCUGACCCGAGAUCCUUGCCCUCGGUUCGCUGCGCUAUAGCAGAACAGUGAAGGAGGUUGCACUGCGAUUCUACAUCUGCUUAUUUCACCAGUUUCUAUUCGCUCCAAACUCAGGGUGGAUGUGAGUCUUUUCAUUUUCUUUUCUUCCUAUCUCUUUUGUGCUUUUUGUGGGUGUGUGUGGGUGUGUUAUGUUUUCUUGGACAAGUGCCUUAUUUUUCCAGCGAGGAUUUCCGGCAAGCUACAGUACUUGUGGCGACUCCCGUUCAGAUUUUCGGCAGGACGCAGCAGAGCUACUCGUUCCGAUAAGCUUCUAGAAAACUUGCCCCAGGUACUAGUCGCGGCGGCGAGGCCAGUUUGCGGUGUUUGGGAGUGAGGAGCUAAGCAACACCGGCC